CCCUUCUCAGGGUCACACCUGGAGAGUUUCCAGUGCUCUACUAGUUUUGACUGUGGGAGGGAGAGUCAAGCAGAGGUUUACCCAUUCCAUUCUCAGCUUGGGCAGUGGCUAGCUAAUGGAAGGCAAUCUGCAACAAGU